GACGAACGCUGGCGGCGUGCUUAACACAUGCAAGUCGAACGGAAAGGCCCUGCUUUUGUGGGGUGCUCGAGUGGCGAACGGGUGAGUAACACGUGAGUAACCUGCCCUUGACUUUGGGAUAACUUCAGGAAACUGGGGCUAAUACCGGAUAGGAGCUCCUGCUGCAUGGUGGGGGUUGGAAAGUUUCGGCGGUUGGGGAUGGACUCGCGGCUUAUCAGCUUGUUGGUGGGGUAGUGGCUUACCAAGGCUUUGACGGGUAGCCGGCCCGAGAGGGUGACCGGCCACAAUGGGACUGAGAUACGGGCCCAUCUCCUACGGGGGGGAACGGUGGGGGAUAUUGCAAAACGGGGGCGAGUCGGAUCCCAGAACGCCGCGUUGGGGGAAGCGGCCUUUGGGUUGAAAACCGAUUUUGCCCAUUGCCAAGCCGGAGUGGCGGUAAAUGGUGAAGAAGCACCGGCUAACUACGUG
rnacentral:rRNA from 1 species